rnacentral:rRNA from 1 species
UCCUACGGGGGGCAGCAGUGAGGAAUAUUGGUCAAUUGGCGGAAGCCUGAACCAGCCAAGUCGCGUGAGGGAAUAAGGCCCUACGGGUCGUAAACCCCUUUUGCCGGGGAGCAAGGGCCGGGACACGUCCCGGCCCGGAGAGUACCCGGAGAAAAAGCAUCGGCUAACUCUGUGCCAGCAGCCGCGGUAAUACGGAGGAUGCGAGCGUUAUCCGGAUUUAUUGGGUUUAAAGGGUGCGUAGGCGGGCUUUUAAGUCAGCGGUAAAAAUUCGGGGCUCAACCCCGUCCGGCCGUUGAAACUGGGGG